rnacentral:lncRNA from 1 species
AGCAAGAGCAUGGAAGAAAAUGAGAUGAUGAAGGCAUAAAAUGGAUUGGUAAAGGCUGAAGAGAUCCCAGAGAAAGUGUCGAUAACACAACAUUCCACCAAGGAGCAGAGGGUUGUAUUUUGGUUCAUGAUGUAAAUAUACAUAAGACUUUCACUAAGCUAGAUAAGUGGCAUGGUGAGUUUCUUCACCAGACGCCCAUCAUUGUGGCUAUUGAUCAAUUCAGCUACUCAAUCCUCACAACUGCAAAAACGGAAUGGCAGUCAUAUCAUUAACGUUGGAAAUAAGAGGAUAUAGUGGAGUCCCUAGUCAAAAAGAGAUUGAACAUCAAGGCCUAUACAAUCGCAGAAAAGGUGCUUAUAGAUAUAAUUAUAAACCAUGAGACAAAUUGCUUGCAAAUUCUAAAUCCCAAUAACACAAUACUGUAAAUUCUAAAUCUAGAUCCAAUGUGGUUGGGCAGAGCUAUCAGAAGCAGAGUGAUUUAGCUAUAAAAAACCAAUCACCAUUUUAUUUCAGUUCCACACUUUAAUAGAAAAUCAGGUAAAUAACAAUCAAUAGAUGGAAUAUAUCAUCAUUGACAUUUCAGUUACAGAAUAAGCUAAAAAGCAGCCAUCAUGAGGUGAGCAAGACAAAAUUAGAGAAGUGAUCCAGCCGUGGGGUUAUCAACAGGCAGAAGUUCAAAGGUGACAAUGUAAAAUAUACACCAUAAAUCCUAUCUCAUUUCAGUUACAUUUGAGAAAAGUCAGCCAUGAAUUCAGCAGGCACAAAUAAAAUCAUUUCAGUUACAUAAUCAGCCUAAUUGCAGCAGUAAAGAGCAAUAAAAGAGCAUAAUUCUUAUAAGCUACUGGAUCACAAUAGGUAGCCAGGGAAUAUUUUUUUGUCAAUUCAAGAGGCUCAUCCGAAGGCUAUAUAUAGCACACCACACUCACAGAAAAAAGGGGAGAUAAAAAAAAAGAUAGUGAUAUAAAGAGAACAUUCAGAGCAUACACAUAGGCGCAGUAACAAAGGGUUAUAACACAAGGAAUUCAGGAAGAGAUCAUAACGCAGAAAAGAGAAUAUACCACAAGUACACAUAGGAUACCCAGAAGGAUUGACACUCAGGUUUCAAAGAGGAUAAGGCAUAUACCUACGUAAAUUAUUCACAAAACAGUAAUGCUUUUUAAUCAUUAUGUAUCACACGCUGAAAUUGGUACAAACAAUAAUCAUAUCAUAUACAUAAAACACAUAUUUUACUCAUUCGGUCCCGACUAAAAGAUACCUAUCUUCUCUACCUUUUGUUUGCUUAGUUAGACAUAAAGAUGUAUAUAUGCCAAAAUGAUAUACAGGUUAUAAAAGUCAAGCAUAUCCUAUUUCUUAAAGUAUGACAGUAAAAUAAGAACCGCAUAAGUCCCCGAGUCAUAAUUCUACAAUUAAACAGCAUAAUGCUAAUCCAAUCCUCUCUUUAGGGUGUGUAAUUAAGAUUUCGUAAUCAUCCCCAUACAGAAUCAUUGUUAAGCGUAAUAGAAAAGGGACAACCAAAUCCAUACCUUACCCCGACGACCCCCCGAGAGAAUAGGGACUUAAAUCGGAAAAACACCGCAAACCAUCUCACCAUAUAGCCUUCACUCUCCUUCGAUUCACCUAUCAAACAAAACCAAAUAGCAACCUAACAUCACCAAAGCUAGUCGAAGAAGAAACGAGAAAGGUAUAAGGAAAUGAAGUUCACCUUCAUCAAGGCUAAAGGGAGAAGAGAAGAAAAAGUGACCCCAACCGUGAAUAAUCCCUUGAAGAGCCAUGAUAGCUCGAAUCACAAACCAUGAUGCAGUUUUCUCCAUUGAUUUUGCCAUGACCACAUCGCUGGAACGAUAGAGAAGAAGAAGAUCACUACGAUUCGUUUCCGGGGAAGCUUAAAAAAUGAGACCAUAGACUUGCAGCCAAGACGUCCUAACUUGCAUGAUUUCGGUCACCAUCAACUCCCAAUCACUGUCGUGGCCAUUAAAACUGAGAAGAGAAAGCAAAAAUAUGGGGUAUUAAGGAUUUAGAAAUCCUCAUUUAGGGGUUUUCUUUUAGUGCUGAAAGAACCCGUGCCACCCCUGGU